AGGGUUUGAUCCUGGCUCAGAGUGAACGCUGGCGGCGUGGAUUAGGCAUGCAAGUCGAGCGAUCUUGAUAUUGCAAGGAGACCGACCUUCGGGAAGAUCAACGAGUGAUAUUCGGAUAGCGGCAAACGGGUGAGUAAUAGAUGGGUAACGUACCUUGAGGGGGAGCAUAGCCUCGCGAAAGCGUGGGUAAUACUCCAUGUGCUCUGGAAUCUGAAAUGAUCCAGUGGAAAGAUGGCCUCUACUUGUAAGCUAUCGCCUUAAGAGCGGCUCAUAUCCUAUCAGGUAGUUGGUGAGGUAAUGGCCCACCAAGCCUAAGACGGGUAGCUGGUCUGAGAGGAUGGUCAGCCACAUCGGGACUGAGACACUGCCCGGACUCCUACGGGAGGCUGCAGUCGAGAAUCUUUCUCAAUGGACGAAAGUCUGAAGAUGCGACGCCGCGUGGGGGAUGAAGGUUUUCGGAUUGUAAACCCCUUUUAUCUUGGAGGAAUCUUUAAUGGUGAAUAAUCAUUAAAGUUGACUGUACUUGAUGAAUAGCCACGGCUAACUCCGUGCCAGCAGCCGCGGUAAUACGGAGGUGGCGAGCGUUACUCGGUUUGACUGGGUGUAAAGGGUCCGUAGGCGGCCAAAUAAGUGAACGGUGAAAUCCUUCGGCUUAACCGGAGAAGAGCCUUUCAAACUGUUUGGCUUGAGGCUGAAAGAGGAGAGUAGAACUGUCAGUGUAAAGGUGAAAUUUGUGGAUAUUGACAGGAAUGCCCGUGGAGAAGUCGGCUCUCUGGUUCAGACCUGACGCUGAGGGACGAAAGCUAGAGGAGCGAACAGGAUUAGAUACCCUGGUAGUUCUAGCUGUAAACGAUGGGCACUAGGUGUUCGUCCUUUUAGGAUGGAUGUCGUAGGUAACCCGAUAAGUGCCCCACCUGGGGACUACGGCCGCAAGGCUAAAACUCAAAGGAAUUGACGGGGGCCCGCACAAGCGGUGGAACACGUGGUUUAAUUCGAUGCUACGCGAGGAACCUUACCAGGGCUUGACAUGCUAGAAGUAGCUUUGAUGAAAGUCGAAGCGAUCGGUAACCAGUCCGGAACUAGUGCAGGUGCUGCAUGGUUGUCGUCAGCUCGUGCCGUGAGGUGUUCCCUUAAGUGGGAGAACGAGCGCAACCCUCGCCUUUAGUUGCCACUUUUUCGAUUUUAUCGGAAGAAGCACUCUAAAGGGACUGCCCGCGUUAAGUGGGAGGAAGGCGGGGACGACGUCAAAUCCGCAUGGCCCUUAUGUCCUGGGCUACACACGUGUUACAAUGCCUACUACAACGGGAUGCUAAGCCGCGAGGUGGAGCAAAUCCUUAAAAAGUAGGCCCAGUUCGGAUCGAAGGCUGCAAUUCGCCUUCGUGAAGCUGGAAUCGCUAGUAAUGGCGCAUCAGCUACGGCGCCGUGAAUACGUUCCCGGGCCUUGUACACACCGCCCGUCAAGCGCUGAAAGUGGGGGGCGCCCGAAGCUCCGUUUUACGGAGUCACGGUGAACUUCAUGAUUGGCGCUAAGUCGUAACAAGGUA
rnacentral:rRNA from 1 species